rnacentral:misc_RNA from 1 species
UACGAAGGGGGCUAGCGUUGUUCGGAUUUACUGGGCGUAAAGCGCACGUAGGCGGGUCGUUAAGUUAGGGGUGAAAUCCCGGAGCUCAACUCCGGAACUGCCUCUAAUACUGGCGACCUAGAGUCCGGAAGAGGUGAGUGGAACUCCUAGUGUAGAGGUGGAAUUCGUAGAUAUUAGGAAGAACACCAGUGGCGAAGGCGGCUCACUGGUCCGGUACUGACGCUGAGGCGCGAAAGCGUGGGGAGCAAACAGG